ACGUGACAAUCUGCCUUCAACACUGGGAUAACUCCGGGAAACCGGGGCUAAUACCGGAUAUGAAAUCUGCGGGCAUCCGCGGAUUUGGAAAGUUUUUCGGUUGAAGAUGAUCUCGCGGCCUAUCAGCUUGUUGGUGAGGUAAUGGCUCACCAAGGCGACGACGGGUAGCCGGCCUGAGAGGGCGACCGGCCACACUGGGACUGAGACACGGCCCAGACUCCUACGGGAGGCAGCAGUGGGGAAUAUUGGGCAAUGGAGGAAACUCUGACCCAGCGACGCCGCGUGCGGGAUGAAGGCCUUCGGGUUGUAAACCGCUUUCAGCAGGGAAGAAGCGAAAGUGACGGUACCUGC
rnacentral:rRNA from 1 species